AUGAACGCUAGCGACAGGCUUAACACAUGCAAGUCGAGGGGCAGCACAGGUAGCAAUACCGGGUGGCGACCGGCGCACGGGUGAGUAACGCGUAUGCAACUUGCCUAUCAGAGGGGGAUAACCCGGCGAAAGUCGGACUAAUACCGCAUGAAGCAGGGGCCCCGCAUGGGGAUAUUUGCUAAAGAUUCAUCGCUGAUAGAUAGGCAUGCGUUCCAUUAGGCAGUUGGCGGGGUAACGGCCCACCAAACCGACGAUGGAUAGGGGUUCUGAGAGGAAGGUCCCCCACAUUGGUACUGAGACACGGACCAAACUCCUACGGGAGGCAGCAGUGAGGAAUAUUGGUCAAUGGCCGAGAGGCUGAACCAGCCAAGUCGCGUGAGGGAUGAAGGUUCUAUGGAUCGUAAACCUCUUUUAUAAGGGAAUAAAGUGCGGGACGUGUCCCGUUUUGUAUGUACCUUAUGAAUAAGGAUCGGCUAACUCCGUGCCAGCAGCCGCGGUAAUACGGAGGAUCCGAGCGUUAUCCGGAUUUAUUGGGUUUAAAGGGUGCGUAGGCGGCCUUUUAAGUCAGCGGUGAAAGUCUGUGGCUCAACCAUAGAAUUGCCGUUGAAACUGGGGGGCUUGAGUAUGUUUGAGGCAGGCGGAAUGCGUGGUGUAGCGGUGAAAUGCAUAGAUAUCACGCAGAACCCCGAUUGCGAAGGCAGCCUGCCAAGCCAUGACUGACGCUGAUGCACGAAAGCGUGGGGAUCAAACAGGAUUAGAUACCCUGGUAGUCCACGCAGUAAACGAUGAUCACUAGCUGUUUGCGAUACACAGUAAGCGGCACAGCGAAAGCGUUAAGUGAUCCACCUGGGGAGUACGCCGGCAACGGUGAAACUCAAAGGAAUUGACGGGGGCCCGCACAAGCGGAGGAACAUGUGGUUUAAUUCGAUGAUACGCGAGGAACCUUACCCGGGUUUGAACGCAUUCGGACCGAGGUGGAAACACCUUUUCUAGCAAUAGCCGUUUGCGAGGUGCUGCAUGGUUGUCGUCAGCUCGUGCCGUGAGGUGUCGGCUUAAGUGCCAUAACGAGCGCAACCCUUGCCACUAGUUACUAACAGGUGAUGCUGAGGACUCUGGUGGGACUGCCAGCGUAAGCUGCGAGGAAGGCGGGGAUGACGUCAAAUCAGCACGGCCCUUACAUCCGGGGCGACACACGUGUUACAAUGGCGUGGACAAAGGGAGGCCACCUGGCGACAGGGAGCGAAUCCCCAAACCACGUCUCAGUUCGGAUCGGAGUCUGCAACCCGACUCCGUGAAGCUGGAUUCGCUAGUAAUCGCGCAUCAGCCAUGGCGCGGUGAAUACGUUCCCGGGCCUUGUACACACCGCCCGUCAAGCCAUGGGAGCCGGGGGUACCUGAAGUCCGUAACCGCGAGGAUCGGCCUAGGGUAAAGCUGGUGACUGGGGCU
rnacentral:rRNA from 1 species